GUCGGCCGCGUGGCUGGAAGACAUGGCCACUCCAGUCGGUGUUGAGCACGGCGAGCAGUCUCAGGCCUUUAGUGAUGAUGGUAAGGCUGCCUGGGUGGGAAAACGGGGUCUUCCUUGACACGACACUAACAUACUUGGCUUCCCUUCCUCAGAGACGAAGUGGUGACGAUAAUCUCGGUUUCUCCCUCAUAGGGUGGUUAGGAGGGUUAAAAGUACUGGAUGAGAAAAUGCUUUCCAAACGUUGAGAAAAUGUUACUAUGUGAAGGGAGAGAGCUCAAGCCCGUCCUCGGCGUCAUAGGGCCGGCUUCUGCGGGGGAGAGCGCCUAACAACCUGGGCAGCCCCGUGCGCCUCCGCCGCGCGUGUGCUGAGCGUCAUGCCCAGGGGUCUUCGGUGCCCGCGCACGGGCAGACUCUGACGAUGGUGGUUCUUAAUUCAGCAUCAGGAGUGUUAACGUGUGAAGACGUGAUUCCGCUUGGAGUGUCUUGAGGACGGCCCCAAUCGGUAGUUCAUAUUUAGCUUUACAGAUAGGAGUCAAUAGGAUUGUAAACUUCUGGAAAGCCGUAGUUUUAACAACGAGCCUUUUUUCCUCCCCCAGAGGCCUUUCUUUGUUUGGCAUCUGCAGAGACGGUGAAAAGCAGAGCUCCAGGUUGAAGGAUCAGAGUAAUAGAUGGAGCCCUUAACAUGAGUAAGAGUGGGUGCAGGCAGGGCCUGAGUGGUCACUAGAAAUGAGAAAGCACAGUUGGUGCCAUCACAUACAUUCACCUCCUGCUUUAUUCUGAAGUUCAAGUAUGAGAAUACGUGUUGACAUACAAGCCAGCUAUGGUAAGAAAUUACUCAAAAUUCAGAAUGCUAAUUAUUUUAAUGAUAAAAAUGAGUAGCGUCUUUGCCCGUGUGAUUUGGGGCCACUAGGUGUCAUUGUAACCAGCGUGGAUCCUCGUUAGGGCAUGCAGGGAUGAAAGAGACAUGGCAAAUGAAUUUUGGAUCGCUAGGAUUUAGGAAUCUUUGUUAUUGGCUGAGCUGAGGAUGAUUUAAAGUUAUCCCUGUCUGAAAUGGUAUCUUUUGUGAGGAGGUCUGACUUGCUGAGGCUCAGCUGUUUAAUACAAAUCUGGAGAAUAAACCUUAAGGUGGUUUCUGUUAGAAUGAAGCCUGUUAUCCUUCUCUUUUAGAUUAAAGGUGGUGGCUGUGGCCUUGAAAACAGUCAUGUGAAAACUCAUCACCUUAAGGUGUUAAGUGUAAGGAUCUUCAUGAUGAAAUUUCUGUAAAUGGUGCAGUCAGCCUCAGUUUCCAAAGCCGGAAAAGGAUCCUCUAGUAGCCACGGUGUGGCAGCUGCUCUGAACCAGGACCUGGACCCGGACCCAAAGUGCCAUGUCUUUAAUGUUAGCUCCCAGCGAUGCCAGAUGGGAUCAGCACAGCCCUGCCUCUGCUGCUAAUUGUUCCUCUAAAGUAAUCGCCAUGCGUUCUUUGGGCUUCAUCUUUAAAGGAAUGAAGCAACUGAGAUUAUUCUGGAAAACCUUUUGGCAGUUAGUGAAAUUAGAGUACAACUAAGAACAUUUUCAGACCUCCACUGUGGAUGACCUGGGUAUAAUCUCACAAAUCGAUGGGACUGCAAGGAUUGUAAACUGAAAUGAACAUGAUUAUACUCUGUUGGAAGAGCCUAAGAGGAAACUGAUGCCAUGAGUUUCAGAGAGUAAUGCUUAACCCCAGUUACACAGGAUGCCGUCUUGUGUUUCCUCUUGUUUAGUUACCCACUACAGUGAUUUUGUGAUCUGCUAAUGGGUUGCCACCCACAACCAUUGCUUUAGCACUUUUACUUCAAAUCAAUGAAGGAUUGAUAAAAGUUCUCCUGGUGUCUCCGCAGAGUGCCUUCCAGGAACAGAUCUUUGCAUAGAAUAUCAGUGGUUUCCUUUUUUGUUUCAAAUAGUGGUCAGAAAAUACCCAGUGUUGACUCACCAAGGCAAUCAGCUUCCUUUUUCCCUUUUUUUGUUUUUUUUUUAACAUUUUAUAUUUUUGCUUUAUUUUAUUUUAUUUUAUUUUAUUUUAUUUUAUUUUAUUUUAUUUUUUGAGACGGAGUUCCACUCUGUCGCCAGGCUGGAGUGAAGUGGUACAAUCUUGGCUCACUGCAACCUCCACCUCCCGGGUUCAAGCAAUUCUCCUGGCUCAGCCUCCUGAGUGCUGGGACUACAGGCGCGUACCUUCUUUAGUAGAGACUGGGUUUCACCAUGUUGGCCAGGAUGGUCUCUAUCUCCUGACCUUGUGAUCUGCCUGCCUCAGCUUCCCAAAGUGCUGAGAUGACAGGUGUGAGCCAUCAGACCCAGCAUUUUUUUUUUUAAUUUAAAUUUAAAUUUUUUUUCAUUUUUUUGAGAGGUUUUUUUUGUUUUGUUUUGUUGUUGUUGUUGUUGUUGUUUUUGAGACAGUCUUGCUCUGUCACCCAGGCUGGGAGUGCAGUGGCAUGAUCUCUGCAACCUCUACCUCCCAGGUUCAAGCAAUUCUUGUGCCUCAGCCUCCCAAGUAACUGGGACUACAGGUGCACGCUACCACACCUGGCUGAUUUUUUUUGUUUUAGUAGAGACAGGGUUUCAACCAUGUUGCCCAGGUUGGUCUCAAACUCCUGAGCUCAGGCAAUCCACCCGCCUUGGCCUCCCAAAGUGCUAGGAUUACAGGUGUGAGCCACCACACCCAGCUAUUUUUUCUUUCGUUUUUUAAUUUUAAAGUUGGGGGGGGGUCUCAAUUUGUUACCCUGGCUGGUCUCGAACUCCCGGACUUAAGCGAUCCUCUGGCUCCAAGCCCACUACCAGUCUCAGGUUUCUUUACUAAAAGAUCACUACCUUUUUUUCUCUUAUCUGCUGCCAUGUGAGAUGUGGCUUUCACCUUCCGCCAUGAUUGUGAGGCCUUCCCAGCCAUGUAGAACUGUAAGUCCAAUAAACCUCUUUUGUAAAUUAAAAAAAAAAAAUCACUAUUUAAGAUACUAGGAUGGAUUGUGACUGUUGAGGAGUACUUACAUAUCCUACAUUUGACUACAUUAUUUCCAAACCAAGUAUUCCAUCCAAAGGAACAUACUGCUAUCAUAGAGACCAAGGAGGGACUGUUUAAGGUUGCCAAGGUGAAGCGAGCUGAGAGGCUUUGUCCUCGUGCCAGUAACUCUGAAAUCUCUCUUAAUUCCUGCUGUCCAGGCAGCAGAAUGCCAUGGUUUCCCCAAGUAGGUAGCUGCUUUAGCAGUUAAAGCCCAAAUGUCUGUUCUGUUGAUCAGAGGUCUCUGAAUUUCUGAAGUGGUGUUUCGUUUCUGGUGACUGAGUUAAUCCUUUACAAUCCCUCUUGUAAAGUGUGCUAAUAGAAAGAAUCCACCUUUCAAAGCUGCAGAACCAGACCGUGCCCUAAAUUGACCAACGUAACUGAUGUGCCUCAGGAAGUCUCUUGCCAGCUGUCCCUGUGAAGACCCCCCUCCUCCCCCCCAGCUGCUGCCUUGCACACUGAAGCAUCUCAGACUGUGCAAAGCCGUGUAGUCAUCAAGACAGUAAAUCCCAGGGCUUGGUUAAGUGCUGUGUGAUAACUUGUUUGGAUGAGACUUAACUUAAAACCACUUACAAUAAACUUGGGAAACUACCGUCA
rnacentral:lncRNA from 1 species